rnacentral:rRNA from 1 species
UACGUAGGUGGCAAGCGUUGUUCGGAAUUAUUGGGCGUAAAGGGCGCGUAGGCGGUUUGUUAAGUCGGUUGUGAAAGCCCGGGGCUCAACCCCGGAGAGUCGACCGAUACUGGCAAACUAGAGUACAGAAGAGGUAGCUGGAAUUCCUGGUGUAGCGGUGAAAUGCGUAGAUAUCGAGAGGAACACCUGAGGUGAAGACGGGUUGCUGGGCUGACACUGACGCUGAGGAGCGAAAGUGUGGGGAGCGAACAGG